GUCUUAGUUACAUGGAAGAUGUGGAGAAAGCAUAAGGACAAUAAGGCCAUGGACCAGACAACAAACACCUCAGUGCAGGACCCAUUUCCUGCCAAUGGUGAUGAUGUGACUUACAGCACUGUUGUCCCCAAGAGGAGGAACCAGUUAAAUGUACAGACC